CUGAUGCAGCGACGCCGCGUGAGGGAUGACGGCCUUCGGGUUGUAAACCUCUUUCAGCAGGGACGAAGCGCAAGUGACGGUACCUGCAGAAGAAGCACCGGCCAACUACGUGCCAGCAGCCGCGGUAAUACGUAGGGUGCGAGCGUUGUCCGGAAUUACUGGGCGUAAAGAGUUCGUAGGCGGUUUGUCGCGUCGUCUGUGAAAACCCACCGCUCAACGGUGGGCCUGCAGGCGAUACGGGCAGACUUGAGUACUGCAGGGGAGACUGGAAUUCCUGGUGUAGCGGUGAAAUGCGCAGAUAUCAGGAGGAACACCGGUGGCGAAGGCGGGUCUCUGGGCAGUAACUGACGCUGAGGAACGAAAGCGUGGGUAGCAAACAGGAUUAGAUACCCUGGUAGUCCACGCCGUAAACGGUGGGCGCUAGGUGUGGGUUCCUUCCACGGGAUCUGUGCCGUAGCUAACGCAUUAAGCGCCCCGCCUGGGGAGUACGGCCGCAAGGCUAAAACUCAAAGGAAUUGACGGGGGCCCGCACAAGCGGCGGAGCAUGUGGAUUAAUUCGAUGCAACGCGAAGAACCUUACCUGGGUUUGACAUGUACUGGAAAGCCGUAGAGAUACGGCCCCCCUUGUGGCCGG
rnacentral:rRNA from 2 species